AUUCCAGCUCCAAUAGCGUAUAUUAAAGUUGUUGCAGUUAAAACGCUCGUAGUCGGAUUUCGGGGCCUGCCUGCCGGUCUGCCGAUGGGUAUGCACUGGCAGGCGCGUCCUUCCUUCCGGAGACUGUCCCUACUCUUAACUGAGCGGGGUCGGGAGACGGAUCGUUUACUUUGAAAAAAUCAGAGUGUUUCAAGCAGGCAGCUCGCUCUUGCAUGGAUUAGCAUGGGAUAAUGAAAUAGGACUUUGGUGCUAUUUUGUUGGUUUCGAACACCGAAGUAAUGAUUAACAGGGACAGUCAGGGGCACUCGUAUUCCGCCGAGAGAGGUGAAAUUCUCAGACCAGCGGAAGACGAACCACUGCGAAAGCAUUUGCCAGGGAUGUUUUCAUCA
rnacentral:rRNA from 1 species